UUCGUUUCAAAUCAGGAGGAUUUUUCAAAGUUUAGAGGAGAGAAUUCUGGGGUAUAAACAAAGGGAAUGAAAAAAAGGGAAGAAGAAUUGCUCAGAAAUCCAGCUAUGGACUACGUAUCCUCUUCAUAGCGUUAGAGAUGUCCAGGUUUCUAACAUGAGUUAUUUGGAAAGUACACUUUGAUUUUAGGACCAUGUUUUUUGAUGGCAGCACCUAGCCUGGGUCUGGCUACAUUGUCAUAUCUUUGGCAGGGUUAUGAAGGAUUGUACUUCAGAACACCAACAUCAGAUUCAAGACAGUGUCACUCGUUAAACUCUGUCAAGGGCUGGGUAUGGUGGCUCAUGCCUGUAAUUCCAGAGCUUUGGGAGGCCGAGGCAGGAGGAUCACUUGAAGAUAGGAGUUUCAGACCAACACUGGCAACACAGUGAGACUCUUUCUCUGUGUCAAGCUCAUUCUGGUCCUGCGAAGUCCUUCGUAAAGUGCCAACAAUCUGCUAAUGUUCCUGGAAAAUUUCGUAGAUGCCAUUUGCACUAGAUUAAUGUUGUACUCGUUUUGCAUACACAACAGGCAGUGAGCAAAUGAAAGUAGAUUCU
rnacentral:lncRNA from 1 species